CUUGGCUCCUCUUCUUAAGGAUGUCAAAAACGCAAAGUUGACUUAUAGCCCUCAUUAUAUCGGCAAAGGCCGAGGUCUGUUUAUAAAUAUACUCACUAAUCUUGCUGGUCGGGUUCACAAGCGCCUUUGCCCUAAAACAACCGUAACCUACAUCCAAAAAAAUGAAAACGGACCCCCAACAUUAGAAGUAGAAUACUUUUCUGGACAAAAAGCAGAAUUUACAAUUGAUGGAAGAUAUAAGACUAUGCGUGAUAUCAUGUACGAGCUACAUUCUCAUAGAGAGCACC